rnacentral:rRNA from 1 species
UGGGGGAAUUUUGGACAAUGGGGGAAAUCCUGAUCCAGCCAUCCCGCGUGUGCGAUGAAGGCCUUCGGGUUGUAAAGCACUUUUGGCAGGAAAGAAACGUCGCGGGUUAAUACCCCGCGAAACUGACGGUACCUGCAGAAUAAGCACCGGCUAACUACGUGCCAGCAGCCGCGGUAAUACGUAGGGUGCAAGCGUUAAUCGGAAUUACUGGGCGUAAAGCGUGCGCAGGCGGUUCGGAAAGAAAGAUGUGAAAUCCCAGGGCUUAACUUUGGAACUGCAUUUUUUAACUACCGGGCUAGAGUGUGUCAGAGGGAGGUGGAAUUCCGCGUGUAGCAGUGAAAUGCGUAGAUAUGCGGAGGAACACCGAUGGCGAAGGCAGCCUCCUGGGAUAACACUGACGCUCAUGCACGAAAGCGUGGGGAGCAAACAGGAUUAGAUACCCUGGUAGUCCACGCCCUAAACGAUGUCAACUAGCUGUUGGGGGCCUUCGGGCCUUGGUAGCGCAGCUAACGCGUGAAGUUGACCGCCUGGGGAGUACGGUCGCAAGAUU